GGCGGCUUAGUGUUUAGAGCGUCCACCUCGGAUGUGAGACGUCGCGGGUUCGAACCCAGGCUGAGUCA